rnacentral:rRNA from 1 species
GAUGAACGCUGGCGGCGUGCUUAACACAUGCAAGUCGAACGAUGAAGCCCAGCUUGCUGGGUGGAUUAGUGGCGAACGGGUGAGUAACACGUGAGUAACCUGCCCUUAACUCUGGGAUAAGCCUGGGAAACUGGGUCUAAUACCGGAUAGGAGCGCCUACCGCAUGGUGGGUGUUAGAAAGAUUUAUCGGUUUUGGAUGGACUCGCGGCCUAUCAGCUUGUUGGUGAGGUAAUGGCUCACCAAGGCGACGACGGGUAGCCGGCCUGAGAGGGUGACCGGCCACACUGGGACUGAGACACGGCCCAGACUCGUACGGGAGGCAGCAGUGGGGAAUAUUGCACAAUGGGCGAAAGCCUGAUGCAGCGACGCCGCGUGAGGGAUGACGGCCUUCGGGUUGUAAACCUCUUUCAGUAGGGAAGAAGCGAAAGUGACGGUACCUGCAGAAGAAGCACCGGCUAACUACGUG